rnacentral:rRNA from 1 species
CAGCGCCACGAGUGGCAAUCGUGUAUUUGGCCUAAAGCGUCCGUAGCCGGACUUGUAAAUCUUUUGUGAAAUCGUUGAGCUCAACUUAACGGCGUGCAGAAGACACUGCGAGUCUUGAGACCGGGAGGAGAUAGAGGUAUUCUAGGGGGAGCGGUAAAAUGCUAUAAUCCCUGGAGGACCACCAGUGGCGAAGGCGUCUAUCCAGAACGGAUCUGACGGUGAGGGACGAAAGCCAGGGGAGCGAUCCGGAUUAGAGACCCGAGUAGUCC